rnacentral:rRNA from 1 species
GACGAACGCUGGCGGCGUGCCUAAUACAUGCAAGUUGAGCGCUGAAGGUUGGUACUUGUACCGACUGGAUGAGCCGCGAACGGGUGAGUAACGCGUGGGGAAUCUGCCUUUGAGCGGGGGACCACAUUUGGAAACGAAUGCUAAUACCGCAUAAAAACUUUAAACACAGGUUUUAAGUUUGAAAGAUGCAAUUGCAUCACUCACAGAUGAUCCCGCGUUGUAUUAGCUAGUUGGUGAGGUACAGGCUCACCAAGGCGAGGUUACAUAGCCGACCUGAGAGGGUGGGCAGCCGGACUGGGAGUGAGACACGGCCCAAACGCAUUCGGGAGGCGGCAGUAGGGAUGCGGCGGCAAGGGGUGAAAGACAGUCCGAACAAGGCCGCAGGAGUGUAGAGGAUCGUCGGGUCGGAGAUCACGGUUGUUGGGUAGGAACGUGGGUGAGAGUGUAAAGCAGAGCAAGUGACGGUAACGGCCAAGAAAGCGACGGCUAACUACGUG